CUGUGCCCAACUGGGCAGAGGGAUCCUCCUCCUGUCACCACUGUUCUGUGCCUCCUUAUUUCAGUUCUGUGCCUCCAAUGUGCUGGAAGUGGGAAGGUAAGUGCAACGAUGUGGGAGAUCCCUGAGAGCCAGAGUCACCACCUCCUACCCCACCAAUCAGAAGGAGAUGUCUGUGGAUACUCCUGACCUUGGCUGCCCAACAAGGCUAAGGCUGUUUUGGAGAUGGAAGCACAAUUGCACAAACAUACUUUUCCUUUCCAAAGGACUAUGUGUGUGGUCACAGUCAGUUGGAUGAAUUUUAAUUUCCAAAUGACUUCCAUCACACACGAGAUAAGCUGCAGCUCAUAAAUGUAGCAAUACAAUUUAUCAUCCUACUUAACAUCAAUGAGUGGCUUAUGGGACUCCUUGUGUUUCCUUGUCCCAAAAGCUUUGCAUUCUUAAAUUUAGUGCCAUCCUUACGAGCAAAAGUUCUUCUACUACUUUUAGGAAGGCCCCAACUUCGUUGGAAAAAAAAAAUGAAAGCUGCCUACUCUUCUGUAACUCACCACAAGCAAUUCAUUGUGAUUAGUAGAAUUACUUCUCCUGAAAAUACAUGAAGUAGAGAAGCGUUGUGAGAGGUGGGAGAAGAAUGUUUAAAUGACCAAUUUCCACUGAGAAAUGUUGAUUCAUCCAAACUACUUAUUAAGUAGGCAAUCAAGAACAAUUAUGGCUGAGGAAACUGAGGCUUAAGGGAAUUAAACGUUCAUGGUUGCAACAGUUGUUGAACAAAAGCUUUUCCAUCCUCCACUUGGGUAUUUCAUUUGCUGGACCAGCCCUUCUUUCCAGCAAAAGGAAGUCACAUUUCACAGCAAUUACAGUGGAAAGAACCCAAGUCCCUCAAAGAUUGUCGGAAAGGGCAGCUCCAACUGUAUCUAAUGUGAAUCAUUUUAAUCUCUUCUUGACUAGAAGUGAUGGGUAGAUGUUAACACGCAAACAACCACAACUGGGCUAGCAGACACAACAAAGAGGAAAACACUUAGUAAAAGGACAUGUCUCAAGGGAUAGUUACCAGUCCUUGGGCUGAGCAGGUUUGAAUACUCAUCUAUGAAACCUGCCAUCAUUUGCAAGCCCAUCUGCUUGUGACAAUAUGUAGUCCUUGCAAUGUGGGUCUUUUACCUGUGUAAGUCAGCAAGAGCUCCCACAAUCCCUGUCCAUGGAUACAGAACUCUUCUAUUUGGUGUUACUGCUUCAAAAGGGCUCUGCAAGGUUGUGCUGAUAGGAAAAAGGGGACAUUUAUUCUCAGUGACAUGAAUUAAUAGUGAUUCUUUUUGACUGAAGCAUAGUGACCUCUCAAGAGGCAGCUCUCUUUUAGAGACUGAGGUGAAGUAUCAGUGAGUGGGUGCUGAUGUGGGUGGCAUUCAGACAGCAAGCUGCAAGCUUCAUUCUUUGAAGAAAGAGGGUCUUUGUGCUAAGCCACAUCUGAUGCUUAGACCAGCUGAGGGAACUCUGCAAAGAGCAGGGUGAUCCAGCUGGAUGCUACUGAAGCAAAGUGACAAGGCAAAACUGUGGAAAUAGAGUGUCUGUUCCUCAGCCAGGAUAAAAGAAGCGGGGGAUGAGAAACUUGCAGCCCCUCAUACUGAUGCAGGUGUUCUCUCUGGCCAUGACAGCUAAAGAUACAAGUCUGUGCCUCAGUUUGCCUAGCUGUAGGAGGAGUAUAAAAAUACCCUGAAGAAAGAAAACCUUAAUGCCUUCGAAGAGUGCAGUGUCAGCAUCCAUCUGGCUCUGUUUGGAAACACAGCUUCUCAGAAAGAACAAUGGAAAUCCCGAGCAGCUGAGCUCAUGGUCCUCCAGUUGCACAGCAAAACUCAUUACAAUAUCCCUGUAUUUAUUUCCAGCUGCAUGGCCAAGUGGACCCAAGGGCAACCUAACAGAGAGGAAAAAGGCCUAACAGAAGAUCAAAGCAACUGAAAACCCGGGUGGAUUGCUGUUUCAUCGCUAUUGUAUGACAUCACUUUCCACAUGACAUCAGUCAAUGACCCUCUUCCCCUCCACCCCCACCUCCAAUUUCUGUUUUAAAAGGUGAUGGAGCUGCUUGAAGUUGAGCAGAAGUUGAUGAGGGGAAUAAAAAAGCAGUCUAUAUCCCUUCAGCUGAAUGCAACCCAAUGUGCUACACAAACAAUAUUAACCAAAACAAAGCUAGCAGGAAACGUUUGCACACAGCAUCUGUUAUGAUCACAUAACCACCAGACAGAUGUUUAAUCCCAACUGCUAACAUAAGAUCAUUUGUAUGUUUGAAGAGGGAGAGAUCCCAUUUGGGUUCUUUCUCUUUUAUUUAUUUCUUUCCUAAAGGGGAAAAAAUAAUAAAGGGAGGGUGAUUUUCUCAGCUGUGGGAAGCAAUUUUGUUUUGUUAUUGUUCUCUUUUCUCCCCACUUUCACCAUCAGCAGCUGAAAGGAAAGGAGCGGUUACAGCCUCUCGCAAAGAAGAGGGCCUGAAAACUGUGUGGUCUGGUAGUGGAGAGCCCCACGAUCCUUUUCCAGCUUAAGGGACCAGAGCUCAGCUUCUCAGAAGGCUCAUUAAAUAAUUCUGGUCCAAUGAGGCAAGAGGGGAGGCCACACAUGAAACAAGUUUGGUGGUCUCAGCCAAGUUCCUGGGGAGCUUGCAGCGUGGUUUCUCAGCACCACCCCGGAUUCCCUCCGCCCCGGGAAACUUCAUCUACAAAAGUGAAAACAAACUCAUUAGCUCUACGUA